rnacentral:rRNA from 1 species
CCAGCUCCAAUAGCGUAUAUUAAUACUGUUGUAGUUAAAACGCUCGUAGUUGACCUAAGGACUAUAGGUUUUGAUUCGGUGUUAGCCCGUUCUUAUGUAGUUCCGUGUUAUAACGGGGUUGCAUGGAAUGAGGUUGAUAUCCGCGGCAUGUGUCCCCAUAGACUUUGUCCGUGGGUGUUCAUGUGUGGGUUUUUACCUGUAGUCCGAUCCUUGCCAAUGGUUCGCCAUUGGUAAAGGCCUUAUGGUACAACUGUAAACAAAUCAGAGUGCUCAAAGCAGGCAUUGUUAAUGGGGAUUUAUCCUCAGUUUUGCUUGAAUGAUUUAGCAUGGGAUUGUCUUGGAGCCGUGAAUAAUGCCCUUCAGCAAUGGAGGAACGUUGUUCACUGGCGCUUGUAAUGUGAAGCAGGGAGAGGGCUCAAGUACUAUGGUGCUAGAGGUGAAAUUUAGAUACCAGCAUAUGACUUUCUGAUGCGAAAGCUGUUAUUGUCCAAUACACUUCUUUCGAUCAGGGACGAAAGUUAGGGGAUCGAAGAUGAUUAGAUACCGUCGUAGUCCUAACUAUAAACGAUACCAACAAGAGAUUGGUAGUGAAACCAUUUAAGAUCCUCUCAGAAUCCAAGGGAAACCUAAAGUCU